CUGUCUCUCAGCGAUCCAACUGUAGUGGGAACGGUCACUAGAUAUCCAGCGGCGAAAGAAGACCCUGUAGAGCUUCACUUUGGUCUAGUCUUGUAUAGUUCCUGCGGGGGUGUAGACUAGGUGGGAGAGCAAUCGAUUCUGAAAAACCACUACCCUGUUUGGAAUUAUGCUUACCUAUCACAAGGAAUAGGACUAGAUAGAAAGUUUGGCUGGGGCGGCACACCUUCGAAAGAGCAGCGAAGGUGUCAUAAGUUGAGCUCAGUGAGGACAGAAAUCUCACGUUGAGGAUAAGGCCAAAAGCUCAAUUUACUGUGCCUUUUUGUACUAGGAUCAGUUACGAAAGUAAGGCCUAACGAUCCCUAAAUAGCCUCAGGUGCGUGAGGAUUGGGGUGACAGACAAGUUACCUCCGGGACAACUGGCUUGUGGCUGCUAAGAGAUCAAAUCAACGCAGCUUUUUGAUUCUUCGAUGUCGGCUCUUCCUAUCCUAGUGAUGUACAAGUUGCUAAGGGUCGGAUUGUUCACCCGUAUUAGGGAUCGUGAGCUGGGUUUAGACCGUCGUGAGCCAGGUUUGUUUUAUCCUACUGGAUAUAGCAUCAUGAUAGUAGAUUGAUUUAGUACGAGAGGAACUGUUGAUUAUGGCCUCUGGUUAGCGAUUAUCGGAAACGGUAUGUCGCGCAGCUACGCCGUCUGGGAUAAUGGCUGAAAGCCUCUUAAGCCAGAAGCCCAUCUAGAAAGUGAUGCACGUGAUGUUGGACCGAUACGAAUAAUCAUACUCAAAAGGUCCGCUUCAUAGGUAACCCAAUGUAGAAGACAUUGUGUGAACGAAGGUACUGUAAGCAGUGGAGUGGCAUUACGUCCACGACCUGUUGAGGUUCAGCUUCGCUUCUAGGUUUCC
rnacentral:ncRNA from 1 species